rnacentral:tRNA from 3 species
GGCCCCUUAGCUCAGCUGGAUAGAGCAUCCGCCUUCUAAGCGGACGGCCGAGGGUUCGAAUCCUUCAGGGGCCGCCA